CUGCUGCCUUCCGUAGGAGUUUGGGCCGUGUCUCAGUCCCAAUGUGGCCGGUCACCCUCUCAGGUCGGCUACUGAUCGUCGCUUUGGUGGGCCGUUACCCCGCCAACUGGCUAAUCAGACGCGGGCCCAUCCCAUACCACCGGAGUUUUUCACACCGGGCCAUGCGGCCCUGUGCGCUUAUGCGGUGUUAGCAGUCAUUUCUAACUGUUAUCCCCCUGUACUGGGGCAGGUUGCCCACGCGUUACUCACCCGUCCGCCACU
rnacentral:rRNA from 1 species